rnacentral:lncRNA from 1 species
UCAAGAUUUUUGGUCGCGACCCUAUUCGUCUCAUCUCUUCGUCGGAGGUGGGUUUGGAGGCGGCAUCAUCCGGGCCGGAUGAAGCAUCCAUGGCGAGGAACAGAUUUGAGAAGAAGGAGACGGAGAAAGAAGAUGAGGUUUUGAGAAAUUAUGAAAAUUGCAAUUUGGUCCUAUGCAAUUUGGAGAGAGGGCAGCGGCUGCGGCGUGGUUGAAUCGGAGAGUCGGCCAAUGAUUCUUCGAGUUUGACAUUCUUCUUCUUCUUAUUCUUCCUGAAGGUACGAAUUAAGUUUUCACAAAUUGGAAGAAAAUGCUAUGGAAAUUGAAAGAAAUUUCUUUGAAGGGUUUUUGUAUAUUUUUUUGUUUGGGCAGGGAUGUGCCGAAAAAUUUUGAGGAGCCGUUUUUCUUCCAUUUUGUUUUCUUGGAUUUGGAAUAGAAAUGAAAUUCAUGUUCAGAUAUGGG